rnacentral:rRNA from 1 species
CCUACGGGGGCUGCAGUGGGGAAUAUUGGACAAUGGGCGAAAGCCUGAUCCAGCCAUGCCGCGUGUGUGAAGAAGGCCUUCGGGUUGUAAAGCACUUUCAGUGGGGAAGAAAGCCUUGGGGCUAAUACCCUCGAGGAAGGACAUCACCCACAGAAGAAGCACCGGCUAACUCCGUGCCAGCAGCCGCGGUAAUACGGAGGGUGCGAGCGUUAAUCGGAAUUACUGGGCGUAAAGCGCGCGUAGGCGGUCUGAUAAGCCGGUUGUGAAAGCCCCGGGCUCAACCUGGGAACGGCAUCCGGAACUGUCAGGCUAGAGUGCAGGAGAGGAAGGUAGAAUUCCCGGUGUAGCGGUGAAAUGCGUAGAGAUCGGGAGGAAUACCAGUGGCGAAGGCGGCCUUCUGGACUGACACUGACGAUGAGGUGCGAAAGCGUGGGUAGCAAACAGGAUUAGAUACCCGAGUAGUC